AUUGAACGCUGGCGGCAUGCCUUACACAUGCAAGUCGAACGGUAACAGGUCUUCGGAUGCUGACGAGUGGCGAACGGGUGAGUAAUACAUCGGAACGUGCCCGAUCGUGGGGGAUAACGGAGCGAAAGCUUUGCUAAUACCGCAUACGAUCUACGGAUGAAAGCAGGGGACCGCAAGGCCUUGCGCGGACGGAGCGGCCGAUGGCAGAUUAGGUAGUUGGUGGGAUAAAAGCUUACCAAGCCGACGAGCUGUAGCUGGUCUGAGAGGACGACCAGCCACACUGGGACUGAGACACGGCCCAGACCCCUACGGGAGGCAGCAGUGGGGAAUUUUGGACAAUGGGCGAAAGCCUGAUCCAGCCAUGCCGCGUGCAGGAUGAAGGCCUUCGGGUUGUAAACUGCUUUUGUACGGAACGAAAAGACUCCUUCUAAUAAAGAGGGUCCAUGACGGUACCGUAAGAAUAAGCACCGGCUAACUACGUGCCAGCAGCCGCGGUAACAC
rnacentral:rRNA from 1 species